GAGGGUGGCUCUUUUUUUGUUGUUAUUUUUUCUUGUUUUGUCUCUUCCUUUUUACUGGUAGGUGCCUGCAUUCCUUGACAGGCUGAUAGGAUCAAUCCUUCCCUUUCUAGCUGUGACAUACAUUGAGCACAUGUGGAAUAACAGCAGGGAGUAAACAGGUGCUAGUUGGUAUACAAAGGCCUUUUCUAUCACAGGAAACAUCUUUUAGAUGAAAGUUAACUGAAUAUUCUGGAUUGUUUUUUUGAGUACCCAUAGUAUCUUGUAGCUCACAGGAACCUUACAUUUCUAGCACCCUUUCAGAAUGUCUGGGUUACACCUCACAGUUAGAAAAUUCGUGAAGUAAAUAUAAGAUUUUUUAAAAAAAGACCAAGUGGGUUGAGAGAUUUGCAGUUUGACUCCCUUCUGAUAAGUUGCUCCUCUGUUGGUGCUUCCAUGACUAGUUUGGAGAUAAGUCUAUGCAUAGUGGUCACAGAGGGAGACAGGAUUUGAAACAUCCUGUGCAUGUGUUUAUAUAUCUGGUAUUGAUGCUGAGUGAAAACCUUGCUUGAGGGUUCAUUUGUACAAAUGGGCACACUGGUCUCACGUAUUACUCCCUGCUUAACCCAUUGCUCCUGAAACAGUGAAAUGCAAACAAUGGCCUGGGGGUGCAAGGGGGGGUGUCUUGUUUUUACUCAAGGGGAAAAACACCAACAAAACUAGUCCAUGGUAACCAGGCAGUGUUUCCCAUUGAAGGUGAACUCCACAGAUAUCAGCUUUAUACACUUUAUUUUCUUCAAUUCCGUGUGCUGAAAAUCACAUGCUAAACUUCACACAGUUGCACUAACACUACCUCCAUAUGUGGGUUUGGAAGCAUGUGCUGAAAAAAUGGUCAACAUAGUGGUGGAUUACAGUGGUGCCAAUACGGCUGAUGGUGAUACAACUAUUUUUGUAUAUUUUAAUGUUUGAAAGAGCCAGUUAGAAGUUUGUUUGCAGGAAAAAGUUUCUUAAACUACAUCUGAUGAAAUUUUGUUCUCUGUAACACUGGAGAUUUUAUUCUGUUCAGCUUGCUGUGUUUGUAAUUGAUGUCUUGCUGUCAAUGUAUGGAUUGUAUCCUAAUCCUUGUAUUUAAUGCUUUAAUGUGUUUUAUAAAAUCUUUUCUUGUAAUGUUACAACACCUUAUCUGUAAAACAGUGUCAAUGCUUGAUGUUUACAUUGACUGUUACAUUUUUUGUUCUGAGCUGACGGUCAGUCUUGAAGCCUUUUCUCCCACUUCGUGAGCUAUCUUUGCUGUGAGAUAUUUACUCGGGAAAUAACCUCUGGAACAUCUGGGUAUGUCAGACACAAAGGAGAUACUUCUUCAGAUGUUAUACUGGACUACAAAAUCCAACAAAUGAAACCAGUGACGCUGGCUAAAUUCCCUCAUUGCAAAAAUCUGUCAGUUAAAUACAUAAGGGACCAUAAGGGCUUAGAGAGACUUUGAAAACAGAUUGUACAGUAUCUUUCUCAUGGCUCACUCUUUUUGAGAAGGUUUAUGGGCUUUAUGGCUGGUGUGAGACACACGACCCACUCCUGUUCUCUCUAUGGAAUAGUAGGUGCUCGGACAGGUAACUUCUGUUGCUACUGUCUUUUUUAAUUUUUAAUUUUUUCACUGUUUUAGGAAUUGUUUUAAACUGAACACUGCAGUAUUUAUAACCAGGUGUUUGCUGCCUUUUCCUUUGUUUUAUUUCUUUAAAUCUUUCUUAACCUUUGAGGGUGACUUUUGGAGCAUUCUGAUGGUGGAUCUGCUGUUGGAAGUCUCCAAGCCUCCCAUGUUUCUAAUUUGAGUUGGAAAGCUUUUGUUUUUUUUUAUUUGUUUAAAACAAUGACACAAAUUAACUGUGUGGAUUUCGGGUGGGAUUUGCUGUUGUGCUAUUUUGGGUGACUUAUUCUCCCUUUUUUUACAGAAAUGUGUUCUAACAGUUCACACUUUGUUACUGUUCUUUGCAAAACUUUUCAGGAGCCAAAAAAGUCAAACAAUCCAGAGAAAACCCCUUCUCCCCUUUCCGAUGGCAAGAGUGAGAACUUAUGAAAAAUCCUUGCGAAUGUUCCUUCCUAAACUUUUCCCCCCAGUAAUGCAAGCGGGUAAAAUGGUAAAUGCAGCAGUUUGGUGACAUCCAAAACCGACCUGUUGUCAGACAUACCCACUUCUUGCGUCUCAGCAUUGGGCAGGCCUAUUCCUUUAUUUGUGUAUAUUUUUGUGCAUCAGCUGCUAUAGGACACGGGUGUAACACUUUCAGGCAUGUGGUUGGGUGUCUUUUUGGGGUUUGUAAUAAUGUCAAAAAAUAAAAUUUUUUUUCCCCUCAGAUUUAUUCAUUAAUUCAUGUUGGAUCACAGUUCUGCAUCUCUAACCUGAUUUUAUAUACAUAUUAUGUGAAGAUUUUCUUGAAAGAAAUACAGUACUAGUUCUUUGCAGAGUCUGCAAUUCAUCUUUGGUGGGGAGAGUUUACCAAAUAUUACUGCAUUCUCUAAUAUUUCAAGUUUUAAUAUUUAAUGUUGCUUGAAAGGUGGUUUUACAGAUCAUGCUCCUUCCUCUUUAUGGAAUGGCUUUCAAAGCCUUGUGUUGAUCUUGGUUGUGCCCAGUGCUUUGCCUAGUGUAUGGGGAAAUGUAGAACUUGAAUAGGCCAUGACUUUUAGACAAGGGAUGAUGAUUAUCUGCAUGCUGAACCAGAACUUCUUCUAUAUGCCCUUCUGCUGCAACAGAAUAAUAAAACUGGUAGGUGGCAGCAGCAGCAGAAGACACUCAUGACUGUGACCUGAGAAACCUCCAGUACUGGGAGAAAUGGAUUGCAAAGUACUAACUGGAGUAAGGGGAAUGGAGAAGAGAGGCAGAGUCCCUGAACUGUCCCUUUGAAUGGAAUCUAAGGCGUGUGGAAGAUGCUGGAUCACCAGGUGCAGAGAUUGAACUCUACCCACUGGAAAGGUUUUUCUACAGCAGCAGCAGGUCUUCUCUUGCCUCUCAUGGGGACACUUAGCCUUUUGAUAAUGCCUCCUUCUCAGUGAAGGGAAGAAAGGAUGGAUCAGCAGGGAUGUGCAAUGGAGUGAUGUCCACAUGUGGUGUUAACAGUCAUGAUGAUCCCUGUCCCACUAACUUGGAGAAUUGAAUAAAAAAGUUGAAUUGUAAUUAA